CAAACCAGCAGCAGACCCAAUCACAUUUAUACUCUGACCAACAGAUAGUCUAGACAAUCCAUACCAGCUCAGCAACUCGCCAAGAGCCAGCCCAAGAGGCUAAAAACAAGUCCAAAACAUGGACCGUAACCAAAAGCAGUUACAAUAGCCAAUUACAAAAAUAUUGACAAAAAUUUAAAGCUUUUAAAAAAGAUUUACAGGUUGACAAUCGAGAUUUAAUAAUAUUGUUGAUAUCCUUCGCCAAAGCUUAUGGGGGGAGUACGGUGUUCCUAUGGAGUUGACCAUUUUGGACCUCCCAAAUUUUGUAGAGAGAAACUUCAAGAGAUAGGCAUAAUAUAUUUCUGGAAACAGUUGUUCCUUGGAAGGUGGAAAUGUAGUCCAAGAUAUCAUCCCAAUUAUUUGAAAUAUUGUUCAACUGACCCAAAUCCAUAGUAUAUCUGAAGAUAAAGUUGGAGUAAUCACAUAAAAAGAACAGGUGCUCAAAAGUGUGU
rnacentral:lncRNA from 1 species